rnacentral:rRNA from 1 species
UACGGGGGGGGCAAGCGUUGUUCGGAAUUACUGGGCGUAAAGGGCGCGUAGGCGGCCACCGCAAGUCGACUGUGAAAUCUCCGGGCUUAACUCGGAAAGGUCAGCCGAUACUGCGGGGCUAGAGUGCAGAAGGGGCAACUGGAAUUCUCGGUGUAGCGGUGAAAUGCGUAGAUAUCGAGAGGAACACCUGCGGCGAAGGCGGGUUGCUGGGCUGACACUGACGCUGAAGCGCGAAAGCUAGGGGAGCGAACGGG